rnacentral:rRNA from 1 species
CCAGACUCCUACGGGAGGCAGCAGUGGGGAAUAUUGCACAAUGGGGGAAACCCUGAUGCAGCGACGCCGCGUGAGCGAUGAAGUAUUUCGGUAUGUAAAGCUCUAUCAGCAGGGAAGAAAAUGACGGUACCUGACUAAGAAGCCCCGGCUAACUACGUGCCAGCAGCCGCGGUAAUACGUAGGGGGCAAGCGUUAUCCGGAUUUACUGGGUGUAAAGGGAGCGUAGACGGUCCUGCAAGCCAGAUGUGAAAGCCCGGGGCUCAACCCCGGGACUGCAUUUGGAACUGUAAGGCUAGAGUGUCGGAGGGGCAGGCGGAAUUCCUAGUGUAGCGGUGAAAUGCGUAGAUAUUAGGAGGAACACCGGCGGCGAAGGCGGCCUGCUGGACCGAAACUGACGUUGAGGCUCGAAAACGUGGGGAGCAAGCAGGAUUAGAUACCCCCGUAUC